UACGUAGGGUGCGAGCGUUAAUCGGAAUUACUGGGCGUAAAGCGUGCGCAGGCGGUUCGUUAAGUCAGAUGUGAAAGCCCCGGGCUCAACCUGGGAACUGCAUUUGAAACUGGCGGGCUUGAGUAUGGCAGAGGGGGGUGGAAUUCCGCGUGUAGCAGUGAAAUGCGUAGAGAUGCGGAAGAACACCGGUGGCGAAGGCGGUCUGCUGGGCAGUAGCUGACGCUGAGGCGCGACAGCGUGGGGAGCAAACAGG
rnacentral:rRNA from 1 species